rnacentral:RNase_P_RNA from 1 species
GGAGUUGGCCAGGUGAUCGCGCCGGACAGUCUUGUUACUGUCCGGGGAGGAAAGUCCGGGCUCCACAGGACAGAGUGCCAGGUAACACCUGGGGGGCGAAAGCCUACGGAAAGUGCAGCAGAAAAUAAACCGCCUAUUUAGUUAUGGGGUCAGAUCUUUAGUUCUGGUCUCAUGCAACUGUAGGUAAGGGUGAAAUGGUGCGGUAAGAGCGCACCGCGCAGCGGGUAACCGUUUGUGGCAAGGUAAACCCCACUCGGAGCAAGACCAAAUAGGGGAACAUAAUGCGUGGUCCGCGCUGUUCCCGGGUAGGUUGCUUGAGAUGCAUGGUGACAUGUUAUCCAGAUGAAUGAUUACCCACGACAGAACCCGGCUUAUCGGCUGACUCCCUUU